UACGUAGGGCGCAAGCGUUGUCCGGAAUUAUUGGGCGUAAAGAGCUCGUAGGCGGUUUGUCGCGUCUGCUGUGAAAACCUAAGGCUCAACCUUGGGCUUGCAGUGGGUACGGGCAGACUAGAGUGCGGUAGGGGUGACUGGAAUUCCUGGUGUAGCGGUGGAAUGCGCAGAUAUCAGGAGGGAACACCGAUGGCGAAGGCAGGUCACUGGGCCGCA
rnacentral:rRNA from 1 species